UACGUAGGGUGCGAGCGUUAAUCGGAAUUACUGGGCGUAAAGCGUGCGCAGGCGGUUUUGUAAGCCAGAUGUGAAAUCCCCGGGCUUAACCUGGGAAUGGCAUUUGGGACUGCAAGGCUUGAGUGCGGCAGAGGAGACUAGAAUUCCUGGUGUAGCAGUGAAAUGCGUAGAUAUCAGGAGGAAUACCGAUGGCGAAGGCGGCAUCCUGGACCGGCAUUGACGCUGAGUGAGCGAAAGCUAGGGGAGCAAACGGG
rnacentral:rRNA from 1 species